GAGUGAUGAAGGCCUUAGGGUUGUAAAGCUCUUUCAGCUGGGAAGAUAAUGACGGUACCAGCAGAAGAAGCCCCGGCUAACUCCGUGCCAGCAGCCGCGGUAAUACGGAGGGGGCUAGCGUUGUUCGGAAUUACUGGGCGUAAAGCGCACGUAGGCGGACCGGAAAGUUGGAGGUGAAAUCCCAGGGCUCAACCUUGGAACUGCCUUCAAAACUAUCGGUCUGGAGUUCGAGAGAGGUGAGUGGAAUUCCGAGUGUAGGGGUGAAAUUCGUAGAUAUUCGGAGGAACACCAGUGGCGAAGGCGGCUCACUUGGCUUCGAUACUUGACGCUUGAGGUGCGAAAGCGUGGGGAGCAAACAGGAUUAGAUACCCUUGGUAGUCCAAGGGCGAAAU
rnacentral:rRNA from 1 species